UGCACCGAGCGGAUGAGUUGCGAACGGGUGAGUAACGCGUAGGUAACCUGCCUCUUAGCGGGGGAUAACUAUUGGAAACGAUAGCUAAUACCGCAUAAAAGUCGACAUUGCAUGAUGUUGACUCGAAAGGUGCAAUUGCAUCACUAAGAGAUGGACCUGCGUUGUAUUAGCUAGUUGGUGAGGUAACGGCUCACCAAGGCGACGAUACAUAGCCGACCUGAGAGGGUGAUCGGCCACACUGGGACUGAGACACGGCCCAGACUCCUACGGGAGGCAGCAGUAGGGAAUCUUCGGCAAUGGGGGCAACCCUGACCGAGCAACGCCGCGUGAGUGAAGAAGGUUUUCGGAUCGUAAAGCUCUGUUGUAAGAGAAGAACGAGUGUGAGAGUGGAAAGUUCACACUGUGACGGUAACUUACCAGAAAGGGACGGCUAACUACGUGCCAGCAGCCGCGGUAAUACGUAGGUCCCGAGCGUUAUCCGGAUUUAUUGGGCGUAAAGCGAGCGCAGGCGGUUAGAUAAGUCUGAAGUUAAAGGCUGUGGCUUAACCAUAGUACGCUUUGGAAACUGUUUAACUUGAGUGCAGAAGGGGAGAGUGGAAUUCCAUGUGUAGCGGUGAAAUGCGUAGAUAUAUGGAGGAACACCGGUGGCGAAAGCGGCUCUCUG
rnacentral:rRNA from 1 species